rnacentral:rRNA from 1 species
AUAUACAGCCAUAGCACCCUGAGAAUGCCCCAUCUUGUCUGAUGUGGGAAGCUAAGCAGGGUCAGGCCUGGUUAGUACUUGGAUGGGAGACCAGUGGAAGGCCAAUGGUACCUGGGGGGG